CUUGCUGCCUUUGAGAGACAGUCUCCUGACCCUUCUUUUCUGUUGGCUCACGGCUUCUUCCAGACCCUCCACCUGUGUGCACCUCUUCGCCCCGUGGCCUCCCCAGCUGAGGAAUCUGCUUAGCAUUUAAAGCAGAAACAGAACCAGCCCUGUCCCCCAGAAAUUGAACUUUUUGUUGUUUGUCUUCAGAAAAGCAAACCAGGUGUUGAGUUGGGCUCAUCUGGAUUGCUUCAGCCAAGGGUGAACAGCCAGACCUUCCCAUUUCAAUAUCCACACGCCUUGUUUCUCCCUCCCUAGUGAGGGUCAGAGGUGCUUUGGUUGUGCAUGACACAGGCUACCGCAUUUCACUGCUGCAGAGCUCAGAGCUCACUGUGUAAGCAACAGAGGGAGAAGAAUUGUGUGAGUGUGAAGACCAGCGGGGAGAUGGAGGCCACUUGAUGAAGAGCCUUGAGCCCACCCCUUAAAGGAACAAGGCGCGUUUCUCCCGAGGCUCCGACAGCUGGCUCCUUCAGCUUCAGACCCGGUUAUUGAGAUGCAAAUGUGUGCCCGCGGGGAGCGCAGCUGCUGGCUGGCGCUGAGGCCCUCGCCCCAGGUGCAGCCCUACCGAGCCAGCACCAGCGGGGGCAGCGACGCAGAUGACCCUCCUAGGACAAAUGGAACCGUGGACCCCGUGCAGGAGGAAAGGCAGGUCAACAGUGUAUCCAGCACUGGGGGGCCAGGAUGAGCCCCCCGCCAGCCCGUGUGUGACCAGGAGCAGCCUGGAGUCCAGCAGAGGCAGGAGAGGAGGCCCUGAGAGAGGUGAGCACCAUGAGCUUCCAGUGCAAAGGCCCUGGGGCCCAACACGGCUGGUGGGCAUGCAGGAUGGAGAGGAUGCAGAGGAGUGGGCGGAGGUGAUAGGCAGGGACCCCAGGUUCAUGCUCAUUGAGGUGGGGGCCCUGGGAGGGUUCCGAGUGGAGGAGAGGUGCAGUCUGGCUGUCCUUGAUGGGAGGGUGUGGUCUCAGAACAGGCUCUGAAGGUGGGGCUGGCACCCCUUCUGGCAGAUGGGUGGGCCCUGGGGGACCAGAGCCUCUGGAGCGGUGUGCAGGUCUGGCAGAGUCCUUGGUUUGUUAGAGGGCCAUGUGCCCACCCUGACCAGGGUCACCUGGGACGUCCCUUGGGGUGAGAGGAUGCUGCCCUGUCCCAGGAGGGGUGGGGCCACUUAGUUCCUGGCUGCCCGCUGCCCCCCUGGAUGGGCUCAGGGCCUCCUGUGUCACUCCUGCCACCAGCUCCAGCCCCAGCUCCAGCCCCGCCCAGCCCACAGGUCUAAGCACAGCCUCCUAUGCAUGUCUCGGGGGCUGUCCCAGGAGCCUUGGGGGGCACAGCUGGACCAAGGCUCAGAGAGGAGCCCACACCAAGGAGUGCUGGGGGCCUCCUCUGCCUGAGCCCUGGGUGGCAGCGAGCCCAGAGUGUGGCAGGAAGGGCUGGCGGGGCAGGGACCCACCAUGGCUCCUGGCAGGGAGGCCAUCUGUGGUUCUGGGGCUACAGGACUACCCUGAGCCAAGACACAGCAUCUCCUCAGGCCUCCUACCCACCCCGGGCCCCACAGGGGCACCCCUGGUGCUCCUACCUGUUGGCAGGGUCCCAAGGACAGCCCCCCGGUAAGGGCUACCCAUUCCAGCAGGCUGGUGGUAGUUUUACGUGGCUGCUGCAGGCAGACUUGCUGGCUCCAGGCUCCUUGUCUGAGGCCCUGUCUGUCCUGAGACAGACACAGGGCGCCUGUUAGCCUGCAAGGAGGAACACAGCCUCUCUUGUUGGCACCUGGGCCGGCCAGGCCCCCAGGCAGGCGGUGGGGGGAGUGCUCCACACAGAUCCACACUUGUGCCCACCUCAGCCUGGCCUCCUAGCCUGCACCACCUCGUUCCUGCCGGGACCCUCCACAGUGCGGCAGGCGCCCCGGAUGGUGGGGGGCAGGUGGUGUCCACUCACCGCUGACAUCAGGCCGUAGAGGUUCUGGGCCACAGCCCAGUAGGGCUGCCAAGCAACAACACACCAUUAGUCCAGUUCAGCCUGCAGUGACUGGGCCUCAGAGUCGCUGCCCUGGGGACCCUGGUGCCCAGGCUUGGGGCUGACUGCUCUGCUGUCCCGUCCUCGCACCCUAGGUCAGGGAGCAGGAGGCUCCAGGUAUGAGACUGGGCAACGUGGUCACAAAGGAGGGGAGGCGGUGCCUCACUCAGGGCUGGUGGGGGUGGCCCACCCAAGGAGGACAGAGGCCCUCUGUCCACACCUUCGGGUGCUGGUCACUGUGGAGAAGAGCAUGUGUGGGCGCCAUGUGGGUUCUGAGAGGGAGCCCUGACUACUUCCUCGCGCAGGACCCUCCUGGAUGCGG